UACGGAGGGAGCUAGCGUUGUUCGGAAUUACUGGGCGUAAAGCGCACGUAGGCGGCUUUUUAAGUCAGGGGUGAAAUCCCGGGGCUCAACCCCGGAACUGCCCUUGAAACUGGAGAGCUAGAAUCUUGGAGAGGCGAGUGGAAUUCCGAGUGUAGAGGUGAAAUUCGUAGAUAUUCGGAAGAACACCAGUGGCGAAGGCGACUCGCUGGACAAGUAUUGACGCUGAGGUGCGAAAGCGGUGGGAGCAAACAGG
rnacentral:rRNA from 1 species